rnacentral:rRNA from 1 species
GUAUAGGGGGUGAAUUCUGCCCAAUGGUUGUAUAGUGAAACUGAGGACUAACGUCUAAAGCGAAACCCAACUGAAUGGCUGCGGUAACUCUGACCGUGAUAAUGUAGCACAAUAAAUAGCCAAUUAAUUGUUGGCGGGUAUGAAUGGAACCACGAGGGUCUUACUGUCUCAAGAGGAAAGCCGAUGAAAUUAUAGUUGUAGUGAAGAUACUACAUAAACAUUGUAAGACGAAAAGACCCUAUCGAGCUUUACUGGAUACCGAUAGCGUUAAUUUAAAAUGAUCGAUACUAAGUAUCCUGAUUUUGAGUUAAUAAUUUUUGUUGGUAGGACAGUUUAGUUGGGGCGACUACCUUUGAAUAAGAAACGAAGGCGAGCUUAUGGUAUACAAAGCUAAUCUCAUUAGCCUGACAGUGAGGGGGACACCCCUAGCUGGCACAAGGACUACGUCCUAUGUGGGCGAUAAUGACCCGAUAUGAUUGUCCAAAACAAAUAUCGAAAGCGGAUAAAAGCUACCGUAGGGAUAACAGCGUAAUAUUGUCGGAGAGUUCUUAUCGAGGACAGUGUUUGCGACCUCGAUGUUGAAUUGCGGUGCCCUGGUGCUGUAGAAGGUACCUCAGGUUGGUC